rnacentral:sRNA from 1 species
GUCAACGAUUCCCCGGUCGCCGCCGACCCA